GCGGUAAUUCCAGCUCUGUAAGCGUAUACCAAAGUUGUUGCAGUUAAAACGCUCGUAGUCGAACCUUGGCGGUUGUUUUGCGUCAUCCUCACGGAUGGCUGUGAUCCGGCCGCCUUUGUGGAGGGGGAUGUAGUGGUUCUUUACUGAAUUACUGCGUUUCCGCCACCGUCUACUGUGAAAAAAUUAGAGUGUUCAAAGCAGGCAAUUGCCGUGAAUACAUUAGCAUGGAAUAAUAGAAUAGGACCUGUGUUCUAUUUUGUUGGUUUGUUAGAAACGGGUAAUGAUUAAGAGGGAUGGUCGGGGGCAUUUGUAUUCCAGCGCUAGAGGUGAAAUUCUCGGAUU
rnacentral:rRNA from 1 species